rnacentral:lncRNA from 1 species
UAGUUUCAGAAAAACAACUACUAAAUCGAUUUACCAAUCGAUUUAUUAAAGUUAUAAAACACGUGUAAUCGAUUUGCCAAUCGAUUAUCGCGAGUCUUGUUUUUCUUUAAUCUUGAAACUAUAUAAGCUAAUCGAUUUACCAAUCGAUUCUUUUAAAGCACUUUUCAGAAUAAAUCGAUUCACAAAUACGCAUAAUCGAUUUGGCCACAAACUGGGAAUUCACUGUGAUAUCAAAACAUUUGUUUCAAUCGAUUCCCCAAUCGAUUGUGUUUCAAAAAGUUCUUUCAAUCGAUUUGCCAAUCGAUUGUGGUUAAGUCAGUAAC